GUGCUUGCUUCAGCAACACAUAUACUAAAAUUGGAAUGACACAGAGAGGAUUAGAAUGUCCCUUGCACAAGGAUGACACACAAGCUCAUGAACUGUUCCAUAUUUUA